rfam:Ipomoea nil DNA, scaffold: scaffold0268, cultivar: Tokyo-kokei standard.
GACUCCUUGGCCCAAUGGAUACGGUGCUGGUCUAUGAAACCAGAGAUUCUGGGGACGAUCCCUAGUGGAGUCG